rnacentral:rRNA from 1 species
AAUGAACGCUGGCGGCAUGCCUAACACAUGCAAGUCGAACGAAGCCUUCGGGCUUAGUGGCGCACGGGGUGCGUAACGCGUGGGAAUCUGCCCUUGGGUUCGGAAUAACAGUUAGAAAUGACUGCUAAUACCGAAUGAUGUCGUAAGACCAAAGAUUUAUCGCCCAGGGAUGAGCCCGCGUAGGAUUAGCUAGUUGGUGUGGUAAAGGCGCACCAAGGCGACGAUCCUUAGCUGGUCUGAGAGGAUGAUCAGCCACACUGGGACUGAGACACGGCCCAGACUCCUACGGGAGGCAGCAGUGGGGAAUAUUGGACAAUGGGCGAAAGCCUGAUCCAGCAAUGCCGCGUGAGUGAUGAAGGCCUUAGGGUUGUAAAGCUCUUUUACCCGGGAUGAUAAUGACAGUACCGGGAGAAUAAGCUCCGGCUAACUCCGUGCCAGCAGCCGCGGUAAU